rnacentral:rRNA from 1 species
GAUGAACGCUGGCGGCGUGCCUAAUACAUGCAAGUCGAGCGAACAGACGAGGAGCUUGCUCCUCUGACGUUAGCGGCGGACGGGUGAGUAACACGUGGAUAACCUACCUAUAAGACUGGGAUAACUUCGGGAAACCGGAGCUAAUACCGGAUAAUAUAUUGAACCGCAUGGUUCAAUAGUGAAAGACGGUUUUGCUGUCACUUAUAGAUGGAUCCGCUCCGCAUUAGCUAGUUGGUAAGGUAACGGCUUACCAAGGCAACGAUGCGUAGCCGACCUGAGAGGGUGAUCGGCCACACGGGAACGGAGACACGGUCCAGACUCCUACGGGAGGCAGCAGUGGGGAAUCUUCCGCAAUGGGCGAAAGCCUGACGGAGCAACGCCGCGUGAGUGAUGAAGGUCUUCGGAUCGUAAAACUCUGUUAUUAGGGAAGAACAAAUGUGUAAGUAACUAUGCACGUCUUGACGGUACCUAAUCAGAAAGCCACGGCUAACUACGUG